GGCUGGUUAGCGGGCCACGGCCAGAGGCGCUGGCACAUCCAACACCUGAGGAGGACCCAAGUCUGGUUAAGCUGGGAGGAGUACCCAAUGCCACCACCUCUAUCCCCAGCCUUCCCUGACUACUCCAGUGGCACCUCUUAGUUAACUGCAGUGGGGUUUAUGCCCAGAGGGCUUCUCGGCACCUGUUUCCCCUACUCUCAUCGAGGGCCAAUGGGGCUUAACAAGGGUCAAAAGAAGGGAAGAGCAGCUUCCAAGGAUCACCACUUUGGGGAGGUUUCUGGACUGGACUGUUUUGGAGACUUCCAGUGGCCCCUGUUGUUGGUGUGGAUCAAGAAAGGGUGGUGGGAACUCUCCCCUCCCUCAUUCCCUGAGGUAGAGUCAAGGGAAACCAACCACCCAUCCACCCAACUGGACCAGUUUCCUCAUUCUCCUUUUGGGCCAUGGGGAAUCUAUGGCUCUCUGGGAGCUGCUUCUAGCCCAAUGGCACUGAACAGGGGUCUAGGGAUGGGGCACAGCUUCUUCGGGGAGUUUUAGGGCCCUGUGCUGACAGCUCAUCACUAAUCACUUGCCAAUUCCCCAGGAGGAACGUGUCAGCAGGUGGGGUUUCUGCCAGAGUCCGAAGCAAGCGGGCAGCAGGAGAAGCAGUGGGGCUUGGGGAGGUAAGAGCCUCCCGCACCAGGCCAUGACACACCUGGGAGACAGUCUCCAAGGCAGAAAGUCAGGCAUCUUGGGUUUCUUCCCCAGAAAACUGAGAAGGCCAUGCUGUGACACCUCGUCCCCACCCCACAGGAGUCAGAGGAACCCCUUCCCCAGUUGGAAUUUGGCUCCUGUGAUGCUCCAAAAGGUCUCUCACCUCUGACACCUUUGUUCUGAGUCAUCAAAUCCUUUUGUGGUCACCAAACAGAGUCCCUCAGAGUAGGGGGCAGGAUCUGAGCUUCUCUCACAGGCCAGAGCAGGGAGAAGGGCUUCUGGGGGGUUGCAGGGAGUCCAUAUUCUAGUCCCACCUAAAAGCAGUGCCUGCCUCCUUAAUUCUGCACCGGGUCACAGAUCCCUGCCUGCUUCUCCCGCCUUUCACACAAAUGCUCUUAGAUUAAAUCUGUGGGAAGGGGGUGGGAGGGAAACAGGCCCCUCUCUGAUACAGGCCCUAAGUUUCAAAUUCCCCUCUUACUGGGCAGAUGGAGUUCCUAGAAAAGUUUUGGGAUAGUUUUCCAAAGGAAAUGUGCAGAAUGAGGAUGGGGAGGCGAGGACUCCAGAAAGACCACAGUAACAAGCCCUCUCUGUCCAAAAACAAGUCUCCUUGUAUCAAUCACUAGAAAUCAGAUCCAACAACUAAGCUAGAAUUCCCUCCCUUUCCCAGACAGUGCUCCCAAACAUGACCAUCUUCCUUGCUCACCACGCCCGAGCAGCAGAUAGGAAAAACAGAGGCCCAGAGAGGUCAGGCUAACAUCCUAGGGGUCACACAGCAUCGGAACCGCGAUUAGAACUCAGGAGUCUCUGGCGCCUCUUGGGAGAAUUGCAGCUGGAGCUCCCCCCUUGGCCCUGGAGACUCCAGUGGGCAGGGAGCUUGCGGUCCUGACCAGCUGGCGGUGGUGGCCCUGCGCCCUGGUGCCAGUGAGGCGUCUGGGUCUAGCAGUCACCUCUGGGCACUCCCUGGGUGGGAGGACAAGCUGGGAGGGGAUCCUAGGGGCAGGGGCAGGGGCAGGGAGGUGGCAGCUGCCGGUAGGGUUGGGGGAGAGAUAUUUUUAGAGGUGACUAGGAAGCCAGCACUCUGGCGCACCCCCGGCUGGCGGGCGCUGGGCUCCAAUGCGGGCGGGGGGUGCGCGGCUCGGGGAGGGGUAUUGUGGGUGGCAGGGAGCAAGGGGACACCAAUUCCUUGGCUUUGUCAGAGUCGGGGACGGAGGGAUACCCCAGCACUAUGUUCCUGGGUAGGAGAGAGAAGGGGACUCACUCCUGAGCUCCAGAACUCCCCCAGUGCCACGCGCGUGAAGGAGCGCCUUCAAACUCCACAGCCCCCACCCCGCGCCGGGACCCCAGCCCUCCCCUAUCUCCCGGAGCCCAGGACUCACGUGGGGGCGGCGGCAGCAGAGGUCUGUCCCGGCUGAGUUUGGAGUGUAAGAAGUGGGGAAG
rnacentral:lncRNA from 1 species